UUUCAUAUUCCACAUUCAUAAGUUUUUGUUUUAAAUAAGCUGGAUAAAGACUCGUGACCAAUCUCUCUGGUAGUGGAUUAAAGGAAUUCCCCUUUUUACAGUAGUCAUGUCUUUUUUGACCAAGGACGCGCGUUUAAAUUAGACUAUAAAAAAGUUUGAUGUCAUUUUUCGAUAACGGCGAUUGCAAUGGAUUUAUUUUUUGAUGAAAGAAACGAAUGCUUGGCUUGACAAGAGCUGCCGUUUUUAUGGACAUGUUGUUUGCGAGCUGAUAUUUUUAAAAGUUGACUAGGCACAAAUUUGAAUCCCGUAUGGAAAUUUUUUCGUUCCCAGUGACGUUGUUUACCGUCUGUUGAGAUAAGAAAGCAAUUUCCACCGAAACUUAGAACUAGCCAUUAAACGAGAUUGAAUUGUCGUUCCUGUUCGAUCAUAACUGAAAUUUUUCAUAAACAUGCAAUCCCGUUGUCCGUUAAAAACACGAAAAUUAAGUUUACGGUUCAAAAAGGUUAAUAAUGAAGAACACGUUGGUUAUAUUUUUAAUCGACAUUUUAUUAAUAUGAUAAUGAUAUGAUUUCGGCAAGAAAAAACAAUUACUUGGCUGUAGCUGUCACGUCGCAUGUCAGUCAACUUCCAUCCGUUCUGCAAUUGUUCCCUUAUUCUUUCUUGCAUAUCUUCUUCUAUGGUCCUUAACAGCGUCGUCGUAGAAUGAUUUGACAAGCAGUUGACAUGCGGGAAUAUCGGGGAAUGUCCAGUCAACUUCCAUUGCUUCUGCGUUUGACGAAUUGCUUUUGGUUUCAAUUACGGGACUUGUGGGCCAAUAAAUUGUUCUGCAGAUUUUUCGCAUUCUCGUAUUCGGUUUCUUCCACGAAGCGACAACUGCGACACGGCGUGAUUUGACUCGAGAUGAUAAGCGAAUCUUUUUGCUGGGUCUUUUUGCGGUUGUUUUUGCAGUAAUUAUCCAAGUAGCAUUACGUUUUCUUUUCAACGAACGUCUGCCAUUUUGACCAUCGUCGUUGUCCACUUCCAUUUUCUCAUCGUCGUCCGAGUCAUGGUCGACUUCCAUGUCAUCUGCACUAGGAGUUGUUCUUUGAGUUGCAACGGCGAGUUGUUUCAUAAUGUUUUGGUAAAAGAACACCAUUGUCUAUCGUUUAAGGUGGUCAGAAGUACUUGAUAAAUCUAGGUGAAUCUCCACUGCAUACUUAGAUGUUGGAGAUGCAGAUGCUUUAAAUAGGAUCGUGCUGUGGGAUGCGCGUUCGCACAGAAAAUUUCAUACCAUUUUCUCAUUUUUUAAGUAUUUCUUUCUUUUAAACAAUUGGAAUUAGGAAAUAAUUGAAGCUUUAAUUUUUCCACAUGAAUUUCAAUCACAUUUUUGUAGAAAUUUAGUUGGAAAAUUUUAUUACAGGGUUAAAGCGAUUCGAGCGUAAUAAAGCUUCGUUCACACUCAGCCGUUUUUCUUGAACGAAGCUUAACUGGUCAGUCACAGUCAGUAUUUUUUUUUUAAACGUCCACAGGUGACGAUUUCGGCCAUCAGGAGGCACAGUUUUGGUCUGGUUUUGUGGUUGAGCGCAGCUUGACAAAAUUAAAUAAAUUAUGAUGUUUUACUUUAAUUACUGUAGCUGACUUUUUUAAUUUUUUUCUUUUUUAAAAAGUCAUCGCUUCCAGGUUUGUUCAAUGGUGUUUAAGUUUGGUGUUGCCGCAGGAGUGCAGAACAGUUUGCAGUCUAUUUGCUGGUGUUAAAUGUGCUUGAAUUAAAUCAAAUUUUUCCUGUCUGUCUUGUCUUAUUAGGGAAACCGCUGCCGUUAUCAACACAUCUGUCACGAAAAAUACAACGCUAAAAUAUUCGAGUACUCGCACCAAGGAACGCUAAAAUUCCUCUGCUUGUGUGAUGAGUCUGAUCUGAAUGUUACAUCCAUGGCAUUCUUUUUCAGCCUAUUGUCUUUCACGUUUCGUUGCAGUUUUACGGGAUUUUUAAGCUUUUUGAAACUAUAGAUUUCAGAAUAAAUAUUGGAAAUCUUCUCUUAAUUGUUAUCGUAGUUAUUUUCUUAGCAAUAUGAUGUAAAGGUGUAACUCAUGUAAUAAAAAGGUACCCAAGUCUCCCACCAGAUGUUGUCGAUUAAUUUACCCAAGUCUCCCACCAGAUGCUGUUGAAUAAUUCAACAACAUCAACAAUGGCCGCUUCCAUUCACGUUGAAUGUUAUUGGUGUGUCUUGAAAAGGUUAUUUAUUUAUCUUCAUUUAUUUCCAUUGUGAAAAACUACGUGUAAAGUGCUUUAGCUCAUUUAAAAGAUUUCCGUGAACAGAUCACAUUCUUUAGGAAUGGAUAUUGUGCGAGUGAAACUGGGAAGAAACAUAAAUUGUACUGCAACUCCUCCCUUAGUAUGAAAUGGAUAAACAGGCCACAGUUAACAACAACAACAAAGGAAUAAUUACUUCCCGGAUAUGGCGAGUCGGCCACAGGUGUCAAUCUCCAACGCAGUUUCUUUAUUGAAAUUAUGCCCAGGAGAAAACGUGUUGAAAGAGUCGUGCAGCUCACUGCUGUCGUUCAACCAUUUAUUUGUUCAAAAUCAUUGCAUUCUACUGAAUUUGCCAUCAAAAUGGAACAGGAUUCAUCAUAAUUGUCUGCUGUUUGUAUUGGACUUGCUAGAUCGCCAAUCCCAGCCAUGCCGAUUUUUAGUGUUCUUCAUUACAGGUUUCUAACACAUUGGCAUGACAGAUUUGACGAGAAGUCAUAUUUUGAAGAAAAAGGACAAGGACCAAACAGUCAACAAGGUUCCUUGUUUGCUAACCCGUUGGCUGCUACCCUUCAAUCUCCCUGUUUACUUCCUUACACAGGUCCUAUUGAUUUGAGGGUAACUCUUUCGCUGCUGAUCACAUCAAGUCCUCAACUGUUAUAUACUGACGAGAGAAUGCUGCAAUUCAAGACUGAUGGAUUGUGUAGUUGUUAGAUAAAUGACAAGUGCAUAUCUGG